CAUGUGGUUUAAUUCGAUGAUACGCGAGGAACCUUACCUGGCUUAAAUGUAGAGUGCAUUUUAGAGAUAGAAUCCCUUCGGGGCUUUCUGCAAGGUGCUGCAUGGUUGUCGUCAGCUCGUGCCGUGAGAUGUUGGGUUAAGUCCCGCAACGAGCGCAACCCUUGUCAUUAGUUGCUACAUUCAGUUGGGCACUCUAAUGAGACUGCCGGUGACAAGCCGGAGGAAGGUGGGGAUGACGUCAAGUCCUCAUGGCCCUUAUAGGUGGGGCUACACACGUCAUACAAUGGCUGGUACAAAGGGUUGCCAACCCGCGAGGGGGAGCUAAUCCCAUAAAGCCAGUCGUAGUCCGGAUCGUAGUCUGCAACUCGACUACGUGAAGUCGGAAUCGCUAGUAAUCGUGGAUCAGAAUGUCACGGUGAAUACGUUCCCGGGUCUU
rnacentral:rRNA from 1 species